rnacentral:lncRNA from 1 species
GACUGAUGAGGAGGUAGUGGGUUUUGAGAAUAAAGCAGAAGAACUAAUUGAUUAUCUGAUUAGAGGUACAAAUGAGCUAGACGUCGUCCCAAUUGUAGGCAUGGGGGGACAAGGGAAAACGACAAUUGCUAGAAAGUUGUACAAUAAUGACAUCAUUGUUUCUCACUUUGAUGUUCGAGCAUGGUGCAUCAUUUCUCAAACAUAUAGCCGAAGAGAGCUAUUACAAGAGAUUUUCAGUCAAGUUAUGGGCUCCAAGGACAAGGAAGAUGCGGUAGGCGAACUUGCUGACAGGUUGAGGAAAAGCCUAAUGGGAAAGAGAUAUCUCAUUGUAUUGGAUGAUAUGUGGGAUUGUAUGGCAUGGGAUGACUUAAGGCUUUCUUUUCCAGAUGUUGGAAUGAGAAGCAGAAUAGUCGUAACAACUCGACAGUGGGUAAGCAAGUCAAGUACCAUACUGAUCCUUAUUCUCUUCCAUUCCUCACAACAGAAGAGAGUUGCCAAUUGUUGCAGAAAAAAGUGUUUCAAAAGGAAGAUUGCCCGCCUGAACUACAAUAUGUGAGUCAAGCAGUUGCAGAAAAAUGCAAAGGACUCCCCCUAGUGGUUGUCUUGGUAGCUGGAAUAAUCAAAAAAAGGAAAAUGGAAGAAUCUUGGUGGAAUGAGGUGAAAUAUGCUUUAUUUGACUAUCUUGAUAGUGAGUGCGAAGAAUAUAGUCUGGCGACUAUGCAGUUGAGUUUUGAUAACUUACCCGAUUGUUUAAAGCCUUGUCUUCUUUAUAUGGGGAUGUUUUCGGAGGACGCAAGAAUUCCAGCAUCUAAAUUGAUAAGUUUAUGGAUUGCUGAAGGAUUCGUGGAGAACACUGAAUCUGGGAGAUUAAUGGAAGAGGAAGCUGAAGGUUACUUGAUGGAUCUCAUUAGCAGUAACGUGGUAAUUGUUUCAAAGAAAGGUUAUAAUGGUAAAGUCAAAUGCUGCCAGGUUCAUGAUGUUGUGCAUCACUUUUGCUUGGAGAAGAGUAGAGAAGAAAAGUUUAUGCUUGCAGUGAAGGGUCAAUAUAUCCAGUUUCAACCCUUGGAUUGGAAGGGAAGUUGAGUAAGCUUCAGUUUCAGUGAAGAGCUUUCCAAGUUUGCAUCUCUGGUUUCCAAAACACAGAAGCCUUUCCACCAACACUUGAGGUCUCUGAUAAUGAUAAAUAAUGUAGUAUCUUUUGAUAUGAUUCCCUUCUGUUGGAUUAGUGAAAUGCGACUUCUUAAAGUCUUGGAUUUGAGUUCUUACAGUGUGCUGUUUUUGUCGUUAGCUGCAUUCAAACCACUAAAUCAGCUGAAGUACCUCGCAGUUUGGGCAGGUGAAUUCUAUUUUGAUCCAGGAUCACAUCUGCCCCAUAUAGAAACUUUAAUUUUGAAGAAUUUUCCUAUUGUACGGUUACCAGUGUCUUUUUUGUAGAUGGAAAAAUCAAGGCAUGUUGAGAUUAGGGAAGCUGAAUUUGAUAAGCAGGGAUUCUUUGAAGGAUCCUCUAAAUUGGAAAAUUUGAGGAUAUUAAAGAAAAUUGUUGGAUUUCCAAUUGAUAGGUUGGAUGUGUUAUCAAGGAGCUGUCCUAAUCUUCAACAACUUCAUAUCAAAUUUGAGGAUGAUGAAGAGCCUUUUUGUCCCAAAUUGGAGAAUCUUACCCAGCUUCAAGAGCUUCAACUUUCCUUUGUGCAUCCCCGCAUUCUAUCCGGGUUACAGUUGCCUUCAAAUUUAAAACAAGUUGGUACUUGAAGGAAUUCAUAUAGAAAGUGCUAUUUCCUUCAUUGCGGAACUACCAAGCCUGGAGUAUCUCCAAUUACAAGAUGUGUGUUUUCCUCAAUCAGAAGAGUGGUGCCUGGGAGAUAUCACGUUCCAUAAACUUAAGUUGUUGAAACUGGUGCAGUUAGGUAUCUCAAGGUGGGAUGCCUCGGAGGAAUCAUUUCCCCUGCUUGAAACACUUGUUAUAAAAAUGUGUGGCGACCUAGAGGAGAUACCCCUUAGCUUUGCAUAUAUUCCAACGCUGAAACAGAUUAAAUUGAUUGGGUCCUGGAAAGAAUCUCUGGAGGAUUCAGCUGUGAGAAUGAAGGGAGAAAUCGAAGAGAUUGAAGGAUGUGAUCGUAUACACCUCGUCAAAGAACAGUCAGAUUGGUGAGGGUUUUAAUAGCUAAUUGUUGCAGCCAUGCUCAUACAGAAGUAUAGCCCAUUUUCUUUUAUUGUAACAUUACUACUAUUUGCUAUGUUUGUUUUUAUUGAUAAACUCUUUUUAUGUAUGAUUGGAGACAAAUAUAUAUCUGUUGGUCUUUCACUGAUUUCUUGUUUUUAUGCAGCUUUAUACUUUUGACCAAUUUCUCUCCACUUACAUCAGAUCAACCAUGUUGUUGUUGUUGAGUACUUCUUGAUUUUCUAUUUUGCUGAACUAUCCAGAAAAGCUUAAGGUUAAACUGCUUCUUGUUGCUUGAGGUGCAAUGAAUUUCAAAGUUUGGACAAAUCCUUUUUUGUGUCCUUUGAUAUAAAGCCAUCAAGAAAAUCCUUCUUAGAACAGAAUUCUCUUGUAUGAGUAGUUGGUUCGUGGUUGAACUAACACGCACAAUCAUUUCGCUCCUGAGUUGUCCGCUUGGGACCAGAGAACUGGUGUUAACACACCAAUUCUAAUCCACCUAACAUAGACCAAAAUCAAAACUCUCUAUUAGGUGCAGCUUUUUGAAGUGCGAUUUCUGAUACUUUUUACAUCGUUCUAGUGUUAGAAAUUUCCACUGAACUUCAAACUGAUCUAAUUGUAUAGACGAGAGGGAGUUGCUCGGAUGGUAAGCACCCCUCACUUCCAACCCGAAGGUUGUGAGUUCGAGUCACCAAGGGAGCAAAAGGGGUGGGAGCUCCUAGGGAGGGUUAAAAAAAAAAAAUAAAAAAAAAAAAUCUAAUUGUAUAAUCCUCUUCUGUAAAUUGAGUGACUUUCUUUUGGGGUAUGGUGAAAGUUUAAGUAGCCAACCAAUUGAGCUAGUACAUGCUUUGUUGGAUAAUUUAAAAUAUUUGUACUAAUUAGUAUGGAACACGCGUGUUUGAUGACUAGUUAUUGAUACAAGCACAUAUAAAUUAUGCUUGAUUUACCAUUUCCUAUAGAAAGAAUGAAUACAUAAAAUGAAAAUUAUCGUAAGGUCUACGAUGUACGUAAUUUGAAUAGGUCAAUAGGAAUGAAACUCAGGAAGUUGUGGUACAAUUACCACAAUUAAUUAAUUAAGCAAUAAUUGUUGUUUAGUCUUCAUCCUACCAUUAUUAAUAUUUCAGAGCUCAUAUUAUCAGUCAAUAAGCCAAUAGGAAAGAAACGAUAACAAGUAUAUAAGUUAUAAUAAAGCAAUAAUUGUUCGCAGUGGCGAAUUUAGGUGCAAAAAAUAGGGCACCCGAACCCGUGGUCUCUUCGUAAAAUUAGAUAUUUUAUGUAUAUAUUUUCUAACAUUUGUAUAAUAUUAUAUUCUUGCACCCGUACUAUAAAAAUUUUAGUUGAUCCACAUGGUUAAAUGUUGAGCUUUUGACUUUGAGGACUAAAGAUCAAUUCCCACUUAAUACAUUUUUCUUGGUGCACCCAUGUUCGGAUCAUCCUAGAUUCGCCUCUGAUUGUUGGUUACCUAGUAUUAGAUAAAUUAUUUAUGCAAAAAGUCAGAGCUCAUACAUACACUCUGAUUGUGCCUUUUUAAACUUGAAUUAUUCUUUGAUCUUAUCAGCUAUCUCUCUACAAGACAACACCUUGUGGCUGCAGGCAAAUUGAAUUCAUGGUCAUUGAGGUGAGUUUUUUUUAACGUACCUCCUACGAUUUUUAGAAAAUUUUCAAGAAAUUAUUUAUCCACAGUAAUUGUUUAUAUCAAGCCAUGAAAAUUUAUGAUAGUUAAGUGGUUUAAUGCGGUGAGAUUGCAUGUUAAUUACCGAAUUUGGUGGCUUAAAGGAAAGAGAGCUGAGUAACUUCGCCCACCAAGGCUUAAACAAAUAGGAAAGGAAUCACCUACUUCUAUCAUUUUUUCUCCGCUGGUGUGAACCUGAGACUUCGUGGUUCUCCAUCCAUUUUAUUGGGCUACAAGGUCACACUGUUGGAUGCAACGUUAUAUCUGAAAAUUCGUGGGCAUAUAUUGUUGAUCUGAUCAUUUCUAUGACUUCUGUUUUUAUCUUACUCUUGAAUCUUUAGAACUUUUCUUCGGUGGAACUUAAAUGUAAUUUUACUUAUAGUUAUCAUUUCCUUUGUUUCUUUCUAGAAUUGAAUACGAAAUUGGAGAUAUAAAAAAGGAGAUAGGAGACAAAAGUACGCGCUUGAGUGAUUGUAAGACUUGAGCUGAACUUGUGUUAGGUACUUUCCUUCUUUUGCAAAUCGUUAAGUUGGUUUCAAUUAUUAGCUGAAGUGAAAAAAUGUACUGAACUUGCGGGAAUUUUCUACUAUAUUUUCAGGAAAAUGGCUCAAAUUAAUGACAUUGACGAUGUGUUAUAUCACCUAAGAAGGAUCAAGAGUCAAGGUGAUCAGAGUAGCAUCAAGAUUGAUCAGAUUGAGAAACUUGAAAUGGAGCUAAGAAUGUUUAGAACCUUUAUAAAGUAUUAUCAUAUUCUUUUGCAUGAUUUCUUUGUCAAACCCACAAAGAUCGCCAAAUUGAUCGUGAAAAUGCUUCACCGGGUAUUUGAUGGAAUUCCAUAUGAAUGUAAAACUAACCUUGAUCAGGAAAGACUGGUAGCACAGUUAUUGAAUUUCAUAGAUGAAGGUAAUUCCAGUUUGAGGUACAAUUAUGAGUUCAUGAAUGAUUCUUAUCUAUCAGAUUAUAUGGAUUGCCUCGGAAAGAAUCUAAAUGAUGUACUGAUAAUGUGCCUGAAAUUGGAUAGGUCUGAUCCUUCUUGGACGAAUGAAAAAAUCCUUCACUAUAAUCGAUUUAUAAAGCAACUGAAAAUUGUUCAAAAGAAAAUGAGAUUUUUGAGAUACUUAUAUGCCACAGAGAUAAAUGGUUACAUCGACCAUGAGAAGCUGGAAUGUUUGGAGACUCGAAUUCAGUUCAUGGCUAAUAAUGUGGGACAGUUUUGUCAUGCUUUUUCGAUUAAUGUAUCUGAGUUUGAAGAUGAUACAGAUGAGGAUGAGGAUGAGGAUGACAAGGAUGAGCAAGAAUACAUGAAUAAACCUCCAUAUCUGUUAUGUCUAAUUGAGCUAGUGGAGAAUAGUCAUUGCACUAGUAGCGUCUACGAGCCUCCCGCUUCGGUACCAUCUCCUUUUUUACCAGCCGAGCUGCCCUGAAAUGAAGAAGAUUUUUCUUGGUGAGCUAAAGGCUUCAAAGUUCACUCAGUUAGAAACUUUCAAGAACAAGAAAUUACCAAAAGGAUUUUCACAUCAUCUCCGUAGUCUGCUGGUGUAUCUAAAAAACAAAAAGCUCCCAAUCUUUCCUACUAAUGUCUCAACCCAAAAUAUUGAUGUGGCAAUAGAUUUCUUGUUUGUGUUUCUUGAUGAUGAUGGGUCAAAUCAUGCUAUUAAUAGUAAGAUGAUGAAUGAGGUCUUCGAAAAGGUUGUAACCAUAGUGGGUGAUGUUCUAUAUGUAAUUCAAAAGCUUCUUCCUAGAUCUGUAAACAUAGAUGACAUGACUAGCAAAACAAAUAUUUGCUCGAUACAGAUAUUGGAGAAAAUUAAAGAUCUGAAGGCACCAAUGGAGACGUACUACAAAUCCUUAAAGUUCAGUACUCCAUCUCAGUUUCCCACUAUUGGUGGAUUGAGUUUUCUGGCUUCUCUUUUAAGGAAACUGAAUGAGAUGUCGAAAUCUAAAUCAGGUUUAGAUUUCCUGAUGAAGCCUCUUUUUGGUAACUUGGAGAAAGAGCUAUCAGCCCUGACAUCCAUUUUAGAGAAGGAGUUGUCAUUUUUAUCAUCCAUUUUCAGAGAUAUCGCAAAGGUGCACCAUGAACAUGAAAUUCUGAAAGCUCUUCACAGGCAUACUAUCAAUUUGGCAUAUGAAGCUGAAGUUUCCAUUGACUCUAUUCUUGCUCAAUAUAAUGUUUUUUGGCAUAUUUUCUGCUCACUUCCUGCAAUCUUGAAAGAGAUUAAGCAAAUCAGUUCGCAGGUGACUAAGAUGUGGUCAGCAGACGUUGCUCUUAAGCCUUGCUAUGUGGUAGCGCCAUCUAAACACCUGCCAACUCAACAUAGCAAUCCAGAGACUGAUGAGGAGAUAGUAGGUUUUGGGAAAGACACAGAAAAAAUGCUUCAGUAUCUGAUUAGAGGUACAAAUGAGCUAGACGUCGUCCCAAUUGUAGGCAUGGGGGACAAGGGAAAACCACAAUUGCUAGAAAGUUGUACAAUAAUGACAUCAUUGUUUCUCGCUUUGAUGUUCGAGCAUGGUGCAUCAUUUCUCAAACAUAUAGCCGAAGAGAGCUAUUAAAAGAGAUUUUCAGUCAAGUUACGGGCUCCAAGGACAAGGAAGAUGAGGUAGGCGAACUUGCUGACAGGUUUAGGAAAAGCCCAAUGGGAAAGAGAUAUCUCAUUGUAUUGGAUGAUAUGUGGGAUUGUAUGGCAUGGGAUGACUUAAGGCUUUUCUUUUUCCAGAUGUUGGAAU